rnacentral:rRNA from 1 species
GGUUAAGCGACUAAGCGUACACGGUGGAUGCCCUGGCAGUCAGAGGCGAUGAAGGACGUGCUAAUCUGCGAUAAGCGUCGGUAAGGUGAUAUGAACCGUUAUAACCGGCGAUUUCCGAAUGGGGAAACCCAGUGUGAUUCGUCACACUAUCAUUAACUGAAUCCAUAGGUUAAUGAGGCGAACCGGGGGAACUGAAACAUCUAAGUACCCCGAGGAAAAGAAAUCAACCGAGAUUCCCCCAGUAGCGGCGAGCGAACGGGGAGCAGCCCAGAGCCUGAAUCAGUGUGUGUGUUAGUGGAAGCGUCUGGAAAGGCGCGCGAUACAGGGUGACAGCCCCGUACACAAAAAUGCACAUGCUGUGAGCUCGAUGAGUAGGGCGGGACACGUGGUAUCCUGUCUGAAUAUGGGGGGACCAUCCUCCAAGGCUAAAUACUCCUGACUGACCGAUAGUGAACCAGUACCGUGAGGGAAAGGCGAAAAGAACCCCGGCGAGGGGAGUGAAAAAGAACCUGAAACCGUGUACGUACAAGCAGUGGGAGCACGCUUCGGCGUGUGACUGCGUACCUUUUGUAUAAUGGGUCAGCGACUUAUAUUCUGUAGCAAGGUUAACCGAAUAGGGGAGCCGAAGGGAAACCGAGUCUUAACUGGGCGUUAAGUUGCAGGGUAUAGACCCGAAACCCGGUGAUCUAGCCAUGGGCAGGUUGAAGGUUGGGUAACACUAACUGGAGGACCGAACCGACUAAUGUUGAAAAAUUAGCGGAUGACUUGUGGCUGGGGGUGAAAGGCCAAUCAAACCGGGAGAUAGCUGGUUCUCCCCGAAAGCUAUUUAGGUAGCGCCUCGUGAAUUCAUCUCCGGGGGUAGAGCACUGUUUCGGCAAGGGGGUCAUCCCGACUUACCAACCCGAUGCAAACUGCGAAUACCGGAGAAUGUUAUCACGGGAGACACACGGCGGGUGCUAACGUCCGUCGUGAAGAGGGAAACAACCCAGACCGCCAGCUAAGGUCCCAAAGUCAUGGUUAAGUGGGAAACGAUGUGGGAAGGCCCAGACAGCCAGGAUGUUGGCUUAGAAGCAGCCAUCAUUUAAAGAAAGCGUAAUAGCUCACUGGUCGAGUCGGCCUGCGCGGAAGAUGUAACGGGGCUAAACCAUGCACCGAAGCUGCGGCAGCGACACUAUGUGUUGUUGGGUAGGGGAGCGUUCUGUAAGCCUGUGAAGGUGGCCUGUGAGGGUUGCUGGAGGUAUCAGAAGUGCGAAUGCUGACAUAAGUAACGAUAAAGCGGGUGAAAAGCCCGCUCGCCGGAAGACCAAGGGUUCCUGUCCAACGUUAAUCGGGGCAGGGUGAGUCGACCCCUAAGGCGAGGCCGAAAGGCGUAGUCGAUGGGAAACAGGUUAAUAUUCCUGUACUUGGUGUUACUGCGAAGGGGGGACGGAGAAGGCUAUGUUGGCCGGGCGACGGUUGUCCCGGUUUAAGCGUGUAGGCUGGUUUUCCAGGCAAAUCCGGAAAAUCAAGGCUGAGGCGUGAUGACGAGGCACUACGGUGCUGAAGCAACAAAUGCCCUGCUUCCAGGAAAAGCCUCUAAGCAUCAGGUAACAUCAAAUCGUACCCCAAACCGACACAGGUGGUCAGGUAGAGAAUACCAAGGCGCUUGAGAGAACUCGGGUGAAGGAACUAGGCAAAAUGGUGCCGUAACUUCGGGAGAAGGCACGCUGAUAUGUAGGUGAAGCGACUUGCUCGUGGAGCUGAAAUCAGUCGAAGAUACCAGCUGGCUGCAACUGUUUAUUAAAAACACAGCACUGUGCAAACACGAAAGUGGACGUAUACGGUGUGACGCCUGCCCGGUGCCGGAAGGUUAAUUGAUGGGGUUAGCGGUAACGCGAAGCUCUUGAUCGAAGCCCCGGUAAACGGCGGCCGUAACUAUAACGGUCCUAAGGUAGCGAAAUUCCUUGUCGGGUAAGUUCCGACCUGCACGAAUGGCGUAAUGAUGGCCAGGCUGUCUCCACCCGAGACUCAGUGAAAUUGAACUCGCUGUGAAGAUGCAGUGUACCCGCGGCAAGACGGAAAGACCCCGUGAACCUUUACUAUAGCUUGACACUGAACAUUGAGCCUUGAUGUGUAGGAUAGGUGGGAGGCUUUGAAGUGUGGACGCCAGUCUGCAUGGAGCCGACCUUGAAAUACCACCCUUUAAUGUUUGAUGUUCUAACGUUGGCCCCUGAUCGGGGUUGCGGACAGUGUCUGGUGGGUAGUUUGACUGGGGCGGUCUCCUCCUAAAGAGUAACGGAGGAGCACGAAGGUUGGCUAAUCCUGGUCGGACAUCAGGAGGUUAGUGCAAUGGCAUAAGCCAGCUUGACUGCGAGCGUGACGGCGCGAGCAGGUGCGAAAGCAGGUCAUAGUGAUCCGGUGGUUCUGAAUGGAAGGGCCAUCGCUCAACGGAUAAAAGGUACUCCGGGGAUAACAGGCUGAUACCGCCCAAGAGUUCAUAUCGACGGCGGUGUUUGGCACCUCGAUGUCGGCUCAUCACAUCCUGGGGCUGAAGUAGGUCCCAAGGGUAUGGCUGUUCGCCAUUUAAAGUGGUACGCGAGCUGGGUUUAGAACGUCGUGAGACAGUUCGGUCCCUAUCUGCCGUGGGCGCUGGAGAACUGAGGGGGGCUGCUCCUAGUACGAGAGGACCGGAGUGGACGCAUCACUGGUGUUCGGGUUGUCAUGCCAAUGGCACUGCCCGGUAGCUAAAUGCGGAAGAGAUAAGUGCUGAAAGCAUCUAAGCACGAAACUUGCCCCGAGAUGAGUUCUCCCUGACCCUUUAAGGGUCCUGAAGGAACGUUGAAGACGACGACGUUGAUAGGCCGGGUGUGUAAGCGCAGCGAUGCGUUGAGCUAACCGGUACUAAUGAACCGUGAGGCUUAACCUU